AUUGAACGCUGGCGGCAGGCCUAACACAUGCAAGUCGAACGAGCGGCGGACGGGUGAGUAAUGUAUGGGGAACUGCCCGAUAGAGGGGGAUAACUACUGGAAACGGUAGCUAAUACCGCAUACUAUCAGAUGAGCCCAGAUGGGAUUAGCUAGUUGGUGGGGUAACGCCUCACCAAGGCGACGAUCUCUAGCUGGUCUGAGAGGAUGAUCAGUCACACGGGGACGGAGACACGGUCCAGACUCCUACGGGAGGCAGCAGUGGGGAAUAUUGGACAAUGGGCGAAAGCCUGAUGCAGCCAUGCCGCGUGUAUGAAGAAGGCCUUAGGGUUGUAAAGUACUUUCAGCGGGGAGGCGUUACCCGCAGAAGAAGCACCGGCUAACUCCGUGCCAGCAGCCGCGGUAAUUC
rnacentral:rRNA from 1 species